rnacentral:siRNA from 1 species
UCCGAAAAGGUGUCACAUGCCAAG